AGAGCUAAUUGGAGAGUUCUUGAAUAGUGUUGUGAACCUUCAUGAAAUCUUUGAUUAGGUCUGG
rnacentral:pre_miRNA from 1 species